rnacentral:rRNA from 1 species
CAGCCGCCACGGUAAUACGAAGGGGGCUAGCGUUGUUCGGAAUUACUGGGCGUAAAGCGCACGUAGGCGGAUAUUUAAGUCAGGGGUGAAAUCCCGCAGCUCAACUGCGGAACUGCCUUUGAUACUGGGUGUCUUGAGUAUGGAAGAGGUUAGUGGAAUUGCGAGUGUAGAGGUGAAAUUCGUAGAUAUUCGCAGGAACACCAGUGGCGAAGGCGGCUAACUGGUCCAUAACUGACGCUGAGGUGCGAAAGCGUGGGGAGCAAACAGGAUUAGAGACCCGAGUAGUCCCUGUCUCUUAUAC